rnacentral:rRNA from 1 species
GAUGAACGCUGACCGAAUGCUUAACACAUGCAAGUCCACUUGAAUUUGGGUUUUUAACUUAGGUUUGGGUGGCGGACGGGUGAGUAACGCGUAAAGAACUUGCCUCACAGCUAGGGACAACAUUUGGAAACGAAUGCUAAUACCUAAUAUUAUGAUAAUAGGGCAUCCUAUAAUUAUGAAAGCUAUAAGCGCUGUGAGAGAGCUUUGCGUCCCAUUAGCUAGUUGGAGAGGUAACGGCUCACCAAGGCGAUGAUGGGUAGCCGGCCUGAGAGGGUGAUCGGCCACAAGGGGACUGAGACACGGCCCUUACUCCUACGGGAGGCAGCAGUGGGGAAUAUUGGACAAUGGACCGAGAGUCUGAUCCAGCAAUUCUGUGUGCACGAUGAAGUUUUUCGGAAUGUAAAGUGCUUUCAGUUGGGAAGAAACAAAUGACGGUACCAACAGAAGAAGUGACGGCUAAAUACGUG